UGGCUCAGACAGUAAGGCGUCUGCCUGCAAUGCAGGAGACCCAGGUUCGAUCCCUGG
rnacentral:tRNA from 1 species